GGAGGGUGUAGCUCAGUGGUAGAGCAUAUGCUUAGCAUGCAUAAGGUCCUGGGUUUAAUCCCCAGUACCUCCA
rnacentral:tRNA from 1 species